AAGGGCAGAACACGGGAUUUGUGCCAAACAUCCUGGAUUGUAGACCUCGCCUGUCUGUUUCCCAGGGAGUCUGCUCUUAGAAUAGGCCUGACCAAGGUGUUCCAUGACACAUGGAACACAGGCAACCCCGCAGCCCCAGUGAGUGGUCCUCACACAUCCUGCCUCAGGGUCACACAGAGGGCUCAGGGCCCCAUCCCGGGGGGGCUCUGUGUCAGGAGCUCUGGGCUGGGGGCUUGAAAAGCGUCAGCCUAGAGCUGCACUUUGAGAACCGCUGUCCUGGGCUGCGUGGGAUUGGUGCGUGCAAAUGGACAGCAGUUGGUCCCCUUGCCCGGACUGGAGGUGCCAGCCUACUGGGCAGGGCUCCCAGCCUUAGAUCCAGCCAGAUCCAAAAUUCUAUUCUUCCUCUCCCGAUCCAAUACUUUAAGAUCCAUUCCCCAGGCUUCCUUCAACAUAACUGGCAUUUGAGGAAUACUUUUUUUUUUUUUUAAAGAUUUAUUUUGAAAGUCAGAGUUACACAGACUCAACGGCUGGAGCUGUGCCGAUCCGAAGCCAGGAGCCAGGAGCUUCCUCUGUGUCUCCCACAUGGGUGCUGGGGCCCAAGGACUUGGGCCAUUUCCCACUGCUUUCCCAGGCCAUAGCAGAGAGCUAGAUUGGAUGUGGAGCAUCUGGGACACAAACCGGUGCCCAUAUGGGAUGCCCGCACUGCAGGCGGCGGCUUUACCCACUAUGCCACAGCGCCGGACCCACUUUUUUUUUUUUUAAGAUUUAUUUAUUUGAAAGGCAGAACGAGAGAGAGAGAGAGAGAGAGAGAGAGAGAGAGAGAGAGAGAAAGAGAGAGAUUGAGAUAUCUUCCACCCAUUCGUUCGCUCCCCAAAUAGCUGCAACAGCCAGGUCUGGGCCAGGCCCAAGCCAAGAGCCAGGAACUCCAUCCUGGUCUCCCACAUACGGGUGGCCAAGCACUUGGGCCAUCUUCUGGUGCCUUCUCAGGCAGUGAGCAGUGAGCUCAGUUGGAAGCUAGGAGCUCAGACUUGCAUUGGCACUCUGAUGUGGGAUGCUAACAUUCUAAGUGGCGGCUUCGUACGCUGCACGGCAACACUGGCCCCUAUUGGAGGAAUCUCGAUAAAAAGUAAAGAGGAUGGGCCAGCCUGGUGAAACAGCCAGUCAAGCCGCUGCCUGUGAUGCCAGCAUCCUAUGUGAGCCCAGGUUCAAGUCCCGGCCGCUCCACUUCCCAUCCAGCUCCCAGCUCCCUGCUAAUGCACCUGGGAAGACAGUGGAAAAUGGCCCAAGGGCUUAGGCCCCUGCCGCCCCUGGGGGAGACCCAGAUGGAGUUCCAGGUUCCUGACUUUGACUGAGGACCGGUUGUUGAAGCCAUCUGAAGCAUGAACCAGAAGAUGGAAGAUCUCUCUUUCCCUCUCUCUCUCCCUCCUCUCUCUCUCUCUCUCUCUCCCUCUCCCUUUCUCUCUUUCUCUCUCUCUCCCUCUCUUUCUCUCUCCUCCCUCUGCUGCUCUUCCUUUCAAAUAAACAAAUCAAUCUUCAAAAAAAAAGUCA
rnacentral:lncRNA from 1 species